GCAAACUUGGAGAUGACGAACGAACUAACGACCUCAGCAUUCAACAUCGCCGGAGGGAGACGGACGAGGACUGCUGCCUGCUCCCUUGGGAGACAGAAGUCGGAAUUCUGAAGAUGCGUUCCCUUAAAGGAUGGAUUAAUCCAAUUCCUAGAAGUGCCUACGCGAUCAAGUGGGAAGACCCCCAAAGGGAACACAAAAUCUUACCAGAUGUCUUCCUUGUUACUAGAAGAACUAGAAUGGCUUCCUCAAAAUAACCUACUACAAAAUAUUUCACUCCAUUGAGACUCAACUUUAGCACCCAAUGGCCUUACCAGAUAUACACACACAACAUGGUGGCGUUUCUGUCCACUCUGCUCACUUGGAUGCUCCUUCUAAAACUCAGUCAGGAGAGGCCACUAAUACGAAAUGAACCUGGGACCUCCAAUAAAACUAAAUGUUCACUUUGUAAGUGCCAUGAAGGUGUAGAACAAGCACCCUGGCCAGCUGGGAUAAAGGAAGGAUUCAUACCCGGCCAUAAUGGAAGAAACAGGCAAAACGAGCCCACUGGGAGCAGUUCAUUUCCCCACACGACCGGUGGCAGUAUUCCUCAAGGCUGGACCACUUUAGGAAAACCGCAGGGUGGCAUGGGAGUUGGAGUUCAGAGAUACAGCCCAGUUGGUUUGUGUAUGUCCCGGAAGUGGUUCAGAGGACUGAGACAGGAAGCCAGAAGCAGUUCCGACUGUAAAAGAGAGCCCACCACCUCACUCAGAUCAAAUCAGAGUUGAGGGGCAACAAGCAACACCCUUGGAGGUCGGAAGGAAGAAACAACGACAGCAUUUUGUAUUCUGAUUGGUGUUCUUUUGAACAGGCAAUUGUUAAAAGGUGUCAUGGACACUUAAAUUACACCCAAGAGAAGGGUGAAAAUGUCUGUGUGUCUUAUGGAGUGAAUACUGCGUCACAGACCGUGACGUGUAUUACCUGACAAAAGUCAACAUCCAGGGGUAGAGGGCGACAAUCAGCUGUUAAUGGUGACAAAACUCACUGUCACGUUACAGGCAUUUCCUCUCUGCUUGGAGGACUGUUAGACUCAUUGACUCGCCAUCUAAUCCCUGCGUGUUUGUGAGUUACGAAAUGUAAACAAAGGCAAGAUGGCAUCGACAUCUCUCGGGGGAGCGAAGCGAGUGCAGAAAACAAAAUACUCAGCAGACAAUGUUUUGUGCAUUAUCGCGGAGUCAGAAUCUGAUUUUGUUGACAGUGAUCAGGAGAUGGAGCAGGAGAGUGAGGGACUGGCAUCAGCUGAUCGGACACCAGCCGAUGCUGCCCCACCUGAGCGCAUUCGCGCAGCCGAUGCACCUACAGCAAGGUUCAUGUGGGAGGAAUACCCAGACAUUGAUCCGUGGGAGCCAAACCAGCUACCGGACUUCACAAGACGUUAUGGCUUGCUGUUGGACUCGACAGAUUACCAGCCGCUGGACUACUUCAGGCUGCUGUCUCCCGAGGGUACCUUUCAGCUACUCUCAGACGAGACAAACAGGUAUGCAGAGCAACUUUUUGAAUCGUGGGCUGCGCUUGCACCACAUUCUCGUUUUUCAAAGUGAAAACCCACAACAAAAGACGAGAUGAAGGGCUUUGUGGCCUUACAAAUAGAGAUGAGACUGGACUGGCGAUACACCUUCAGGGAGCAUUGGUCCAAAUGUGCUUUGUCCCCUGGUGGCAUUGGACAGGUUAAGCCACGUGAUGAUAGGUACGUGCUACUGCAAAGUGAUUGUGAGCAACUGAGCUUCAGAAAUUGUGACACUGGUAAUGAGGAGUUCUGGGAGAUUCCAGAAAACUAG